UUGGCUCUGGCCGGGGGCGCUGCAACGGGCGCUGCAACGGGCGCAGCCUUCUAGGGGUGGCGGGUGAAGGCCUACACCUGCCCCAGGACGGCCAGGUCCACCAGCACCUGCAACAGAUGGAGAACUGCAGGGGCAUCUUGAAGCUGUGGCUAUCUUGAAGGUGUCGCCACUUGUUCUCACGAGCACCAUUUUGAUUCUCGUGCCCUGUGUGCAUGGGUGGCCAGCGUUGCUGGUAGGGCUCCUGCACGCUCAGAGUGGCCUUGGCCAGGAAGUCCAGGGUUUCCGCAGGCAGAGUGGAUGAACAGAUGCCACAGACAUGUGAGAAAUGGAACUUUUGACAAGAUCUGUGAAAAGAAUGGUAUUUUAUUGUAUUAGGAUUCUCCAGAGGGACAGAAUUGAUCGGAUAUAUGUGUAUAUGAAAGGGAGUUUAUUAGGGAGAAUUGGCUCACAUGAUCAUAAGGCA
rnacentral:lncRNA from 1 species